rnacentral:rRNA from 1 species
GAUGAACGCUGGCGGCGUGCCUAAUACAUGCAAGUCGAGCGAACGGACGAGAAGCUUGCUUCUCUGAUGUUAGCGGCGGACGGGUGUGUAACACGUGGAUAACCUACCUAUAAGACUGGGAUAACUUCGGGAAACCGGAGCUAAUACCGGAGAAUAUUUUGAACCGCAUGGUUCAAAAGUGAAAGACGGCCUUGCUGUCACUUAUAGAUGGUUCCGAGCUGCAUUAUUUAGUUGGGAGGGUAACGGCUUUCCAAGGCAACGAUGCAUAGCCGACCUGAGAGAGUGUUCGCCGCCAGUGGAGCUGACAGGCCAUCCCGGGUCCGACAUGAGGCAGCGACCGGGAAGGUACGGAGAUGUGCGGAAGCCUGCCGGAGCGACGCCACGUGAAUGCUGAAAGUCUGCGUGUCGUAAAACGCUGUUCUUGUGGUAGACCAUUUGUGUAUGUAACUGUGCGCAUGUUGACGGUACCGGUAAAGAAGGCCACGGCUACCUACUU